UACGUAGGGUGCGAGCGUUAAUCGGAAUUACUGGGCGUAAAGCGUGCGCAGGCGGUUCGUUAAGUCAGAUGUGAAAGCCCCGGGCUCAACCUCGGAACUGCAUUUGAAACUGGCGGACUUGAGUAUGGCAGAGGGGGGUGGAAUUCCGCGUGUAGCAGUGAAAUGCGUAGAGAUCGGGAGGAACACCAGUGGCGAAGGCGGCUACCUGGACCAGCACUGACACUGAAGCACGAAAGCGUGGGGAGCAAACAGG
rnacentral:rRNA from 1 species